UAACACGCGUGGGCAGCCAGGCCGAGGUGCUGGCUCUACUAGGGGAUUCAUCUGGUGCCGUCACUGAUCGUGUGACCUCGAGCAAGCCACGAGUCACCUCGGAGCCUCCGGGUUCUUCUCUGGAAAACGGGCUUGCUGGGGGCUGAUGACAUCAGAUGCGCGCUGCGCAGGCCCCCGCAGACACCGCCAAAAAGCGGGGACGGUAGCCUUCGUCUUCAACAGGACAGUGAUCUCACAGGCCCACCACGGGCACACCUGGGGGCCAGGCCGGGGGUUCUGGAGGAGUCACAGCAGGAGGGCAGUGUCCUCAGUGCCUUCUCCAAGCCCGCGGGCACGGGGCUGAUUCUCGAACGUGCCAUCUGAUCCACUCAACAUUUCUCGGGAACCCCAGAGCGGCCCGGCAGGACCCAGGCGUGGACUUUUAAGGGCAUUUUUCUACCUUGUGGUGGCUGCCGGGUUUAUCAGCGUGCAGUUGAACCGGACGUGAUAUUCCUGAGCCCUCCCGGGACGCCUGCGACCCUGAGCUGUGCUCGGCCUCUUGGUCACGCCUCUCCCCAUCCUCCUUCGAUUUGCGUCACACGAGGGCCGCUUGUCCGGGUGGCCGCCCCCGGGGCUGGCUCGGAGCCCCGUCCCACCCCUGCCGGCUCUGCCCCAUCCCCCGCCACCAGAGGAACCUGGACGCAGACCACCUGGAGCAUCUCCAGCUCAACGGCCAAUCUCCAACCCACACCACCUCCAAGCCCACACCACCACCCCUCUCCCUCCUCCGACCCAGGACCCCGAUUCUCAGCCUUCGCCCUCUCUCUCCUCCCCGAAGUGACCAGGGAUCUUCCUAAAGAUCCCAUGGUAUCUGGGAGCCAAGGUUUGGGAUCUGCCAGCCCUGAUUCCAUAACCCACACUUAUCCUUCCUCACGGAGCCUGUUUCUGCCUCUGACAAUGGUGGUUAGCGCAGCCCGCUCCGCACCGCACAUGGCGGCUGCAAGGACGGCAUGGGUGGGGUUCUUUGCACAGUGCCAGGUACAUAGCAAAUCCCCACAAAAAGAGCUCCUGGAAGGGCUCUGUCAACAGCGUGAGUGGACAGUCUCAGCAGAGGACCACCUGAGGCUUGGGUUGGUCACAGCAAAUGUGAGAGACCAGGAAAAGGGGUGCAUGUGAGUUCUGGAACCCAGAAAGUGAUCAUCUGUAUCUGGCACAGUAUCUGCUUUUGAGCCCAGAAGGAAAUAAAGGCCCUGGAGGGGCGCUGAACCCUAAAGCACUGGAGCUGCAGGGAGAGGUCUUCUGAGGCAGCUUCUGGCAGCCCCAGACAAGGGGAGGGCCAAGUGCUGACCUAACCAUGGCCUUGGGGGCAGGUGUGCAGGCCUAUGGAUUAGCAAAUAAGGACCGAAACAUGCUUAUGGAUUAGCAAUUAAGGACCAAAACAUGCCUAUGGAUUAGCAAUUAAGGACCAAAAUGAGCUUAAGUUUGGACCCUUUUCAGUUCACAAGCGUUUUUAUUUUUACAUACAUAUAUGUAGCAUGGUGUAUUGGCU
rnacentral:lncRNA from 10 species